rnacentral:lncRNA from 1 species
AUUGCGUGCAGCCAUACAGCAGACUUUAGAGAGAGGGGUGUCAGAGAGGGGCUCCCUACACCAGUCCUCCUGAGGGGGGUAGGGAACUGUGAGCUGGCCGGAUGCAAAACGGUAUAGUACAGUGGUCUCUUGUAACUCAGGCUGUAGACUGAGAGCAAAAUGAACUUGGUUAAAAGCAAGAAAGCCUCCUCCACCACAGCAGCACCCUAGACAAGCUGGUGGUUUCUAAAAGUGGCCAGUUUGCCAUCGUGAAGAAGUGCCGGGAGAAGAGCACGGGGCUUGAGUAUGCAGCCAAGUUCAUCAAGAAGCGGCAGAGCCGGGCGAGCCGGCGCGGUGUGAGCCGGGAGGAGAUCGAGCGGGAGAGUGUCUGGAGGAGAGCUCUUCGAUUUCCUGGCCCAGAAGGAGUCACUGAGUGAGGAGGAGGCCACCAGCUUCAUUAAGCAGAUCCUGGAUGGGGUGAACUACCUUCACACAAAGAAAAUUGCUCACUUUGAUCUCAAGCCAGAAAACAUUAUGUUGUUAGACAAGAAUAUUCCCAUUCCACACAUCAAGCUGAUUGACUUUGGUCUG